GAAUAUUGCACAAUGGGGGAAACCCUGAUGCAGCGACGCCGCGUGAGUGAAGAAGUGUUUCGGUAUGUAAAACUCUAUCAGCAGGGAAGAAAAUGACGGUACCUGACUAAGAAGCACCGGCUAAAUACGUGCCAGCAGCCGCGGUAAUACGUAUGGUGCAAGCGUUAUCCGGAUUUACUGGGUGUAAAGGGAGUGUAGGUGGCAAGGCAAGUCAGAAGUGAAAGCCCGGGGCUCAACCCCGGGACUGCUUUUGAAACUGCUUUGCUAGAGUGCAGGAGAGGUAAGUGGAAUUCCUAGUGUAGCGGUGAAAUGCGUAGAUAUUAGGAGGAACACCAGUGGCGAAGGCGGCUUACUGGACUGUAACUGACACUGAGGCUCGAAAGCGUGGGGAGCAAACAGG
rnacentral:rRNA from 1 species